AACCAUCCGAGAGUCUUUGAAGGUCUUGUAACUGGAAUGAAUCCACUGUACGUCCUUUAACGAGGCCCUCUUGGAGGACAGGUCUGGUGCCAGCAGCCACGGUAAUUCUAGCUCGAA
rnacentral:ncRNA from 1 species